CGCCUCUUGAUCAACCAUAAGAGGUCCAGCCUGCCCGGUGACAUAGUUUAACGGCCGCGGUACCCUAACCGUGCGAAGGUAGCAUAAUCACUUGUUCUUUAAAUAGGGACUUGUAUCAAUGGCAUCACGAGGGUUACACUGUCUCCUUUCUCUGAUCAAUGAAACUGAUCUCCCCGUGAAGAAGCGGGGAUAUAAAUAUAAGACGAGAAGACCCCAUGGAGCUUUAAGCUCAACAACAACCUUUCAACAAUAUCUCCUCUAAAACCAAAAGCCCUGUUUGUUAGCUUUAGGUUGGGGUGACCGCGGAGAAUAACAUAACCUCCACGACAAACGGGACUAAACCCUUAUCUAUGAGCCACUGCUCUAAGAAUCAUUAAAUUGAUGUAAAAUGAUCCGAUUUUUGAUCAACGAACCAAGUUACCCUGGGGAUAACAGCGCAAUCCAUUUCAAGAGCUCCUAUCGACAAAUGGGUUUACGACCUCGAUGUUGGAUCAGGGUAUCCGAGUGGUGCAGCCGCUACUAAAGGUUCGUUUGUUCAACGAUUAAAACCCU
rnacentral:rRNA from 1 species